rnacentral:rRNA from 1 species
AUUGAACGCUGGCGGCAGGCCUAACACAUGCAAGUCGAGCGGAUGAAGGGAGCUUGCUCCUGGAUUCAGCGGCGGACGGGUGAGUAAUGCCUAGGAAUCUGCCUGGUAGUGGGGGAUAACGUCCGGAAACGGGCGCUAAUACCGCACACGUCCUGAGGGAGAAAGUGGGGGAUCUUCGGACCUCACGCUAUCAGAUGAGCCUAGGUCGGAUUAGCUAGUUGGUGGGGUAAAGGCCUACCAAGGCGACGAUCCGUAACUGGUCUGAGAGGAUGAUCAGUCACACUGGAACUGAGACACGGUCCAGACUCCUACGGGAGGCAGCAGUGGGGAAUAUUGGGCAAUGGGCGAAAGCCUGAUCCAGCCAUGCCGCGUGUGUGAAGAAGGUCUUCGGAUUGUAAAGCACUUUAAGUUGGGAGGAAGGGCAGUAAGUUAAUACCUUGCUGUUUUGACGUUACCAACAGAAUAAGCACCGGCUAACUUCGUG